rnacentral:lncRNA from 1 species
CUGCAUGCUGGGUGGUUUGUUCAAGAGAGGUGGCUCUGCUCUCCUGGACAUGUUUAUUUUUCAAAUUGACAAAGAGUAAAAGAUCUUUUCUGACAUUUUGCCUUGGGGGACUGGAUUAAAGGAGCUAGAGAGAAGAUAUCGUCUAGACCGAUUGGCCCGACUCUACCCUUUUUUCGUGGAGUGCAGUGGUGUAAUGUGUAGCGUACCUGGACUGUCUGGACUGGUCUACACUGGAGACUUGAUCUUGUGUCUUGUACUCAGGAAGAUUAGCCCUGAGCUAACUACUGCCAGUCCUCCUCUUUUUUGCUGAGGUAGCCUGGCCCUGAGCUAACAUCGUGCCCAUCUUCCUCUACUUUAUACGUGGGACACCUACCACAGCAUGGUGUGCCAAGCGGUGCCAUGUCCGCACACGGGAUCAGAAUCGGCGAACCCCGGGCCACUGAGAAGCGGAAAGUGCGAACUUAAUCACUGUGCCACCGGGCCGGCCCCUAACUGGAAAACUCUUAAUCUGUCCUUCAAAUCUGAAUGAUAACCUUGCUGAGUAGAGCAUUCUUGGUCACCCAUGAUGGACAGAUUUAAGCAGAGUUUCUGGACUAAGACAGACUAAGAAGAAGGACUUGGCCACCCACUUCCACAUAAAUUGGCCAAUUGCGAAUAGCAGUGGAGCGUUGCCUGAUAUAGCACCAGAAGUUGAGAGGAUGGAGCAAAAAGACCAGGCAGGGUUCUGCUCUGCUGUGCACACAGUCACAAGGAGUUGAAAUUGACUCCACAGAACUAACAACAGCAAAUUAUAAAAUGUGCUUAGUAAUGUAUUUUACAUUGUCUAAAAUCUAAAAAGAGCUGGAGGAACCGUGUGGUGAAAUGAUGGCUGAGAGGAUUACUGGUAUCAGAACGCUUUUCUAGACCUCUGAAUUUCUAAAGAUUAUCUGAAGCAUCCAGUAACAGGAGCUGUUUGAAUAUAAAUGAGGCUUCCAGCUCAAGAGGAGAGCCACAGCUGCACACAUGUGGACACAUUCAUAAGAUUCUAAACUUUGACCAUGUUGACUCUCUUGAGAGAGGAGAUGAAUCUGUCUUGGAAGGAAGGAAGUACAUAUUUGGGACCAAAAUGGAGAACUGUGGUAGGUUGCCAGAUAUCGAAUGAAGACUACGUUUACAAAUGCAGUUAGGAUAAGCCUUUUACAGAACUGGAUAAGGAUAAGGAUAAGAAAAGGAUAAGCCUUUUACAGAACUUUGUAGAACCAGUUUCUUUGUCUAGUCAAUGCUGUUGGUAUUGGAUGAUUUAAUGAAAAUGCCUGAGGCUUACAGAUAAAAGGACUAUGGAACAAAGUUAUUACAUGGGAAUCCUUCCUGAAUAAUAUUUAUUGCGGAAUGUCCCUGGCACUAAGUAAAAAUAGAUAAAAUAUUAGCAUUUUCAAAACCCUAAUCUUAUGUCCACACAAGUGCCUUGCUCUUAUUUUAACUCGGGCUUAACACUGCUUGACAUCAGAAGAAGUACACCCAAUCCUCAUUUUUGGGCAAGAAGAACAAAUCGCUCUUCCUUGUUCACAAGACAGAUGGAGCAUCCAAAGAUCAGCUCUCUAUUGGGAACUCGGAAACCACUCACUCCCAGGCCUACCGUCUGCUUCUCUGUACAAAAGACAAAAACCACUAGGAGGAUCAAUUUUUAAAAUCAGACUGUUAUGGGUAGUUGAAAAUUUAAUUUGCCCCCAACAGAAAAGAAAAAGGAAGCCUGCAAAGCAGGAAUAAAGGAAAAUUUUUAACAUAUUAAAACUGGCUAUAUCUGUCAUGCUCAAUUGUGCAACAGAGCAAAAUGAGAUGAGCAUAUUAGUGGCAGUUGAGAAAAAUGGCUUUUCAAAUUCAGUUUUUUAUGAGGGUAAUUUAGUAAGAGUAGUAUAAGAGUCGUUAAGUACGAAAUACCAUAAACGUCAAUGUGAGUUGCAUUCUGCUUUUGUUUGGCUCACGGAGUGACAUAGCAUACCUUAAAUCUGAUGAAGAUGCUCUUUUGGAAACUAUAAAGAGAGAGGCAUUAACACAGACUGAGAGUGGCACUAGAUUCCCGGGGAAUAGGGCUCCUAAAACAACCUUUGCCUGUCUUGUUGAGGAGAUGGGAAGAGCUAAGAGGAAGCCUGUGCUUCCAACCCAUGAGUGGUGUAAAAUCAAGAAGAACCUUCUUGUGAGCCAGCCACCCACCUCCUACUGGGAACACAAGAGGAAUGUAGGCAGGAGCAGUGAGCUUGUGGAGGAUGAUUUCAAGCAGGGAGGCAGGCGCGAGGAAUGAAGAAUCCUCAGGCUGUGACAGAAGGAAAUGCAAGCCCAAACGCAGGUGUUGGCUCAGACUCCUAGAGGAUUACUUCGGUUAUUGUGUUGAGAUGGGAUGAAAAGGGAAAAUCGUCUCCUACUCCCUUGCCUCAGCCAGCCUGAAAAAUUAUGGAGUGUGAAGUGUAAUCCCUUGUAAAUAUUGGUUUGAAGGUCUCACCAACUCUAGAGAGUAUAAAAACCAAGAAAAUACACUAUAAAUCGAAGAUCUCAAUGGGAAAGUAUACUUUUAUGAGUCCACGUUUAUUGAAUAUUUGCUGAGCUGAGGACAGUAUGACAAAUUUGACCUCUGUCCAGAUACUUCGUAUUUUGGACUCGCUGAAGUUCAUUUUAGUUUCAUCACAGGCCUUGCCCUCAGAAAAAAAGACUCAGUCCUUCCUACUUGCUGUACACUAGCAUCCUCCUCGUUCUUUACCAAUAUUUCUCCAACCCUGCAUAAAAAGAUGUGGCCACACCAUCUAAUCUGAUCUCGUCACAACUUUUUCGUGUAAAUUUUCUUUUUUAGCCAUUUGGUUCCUCUGAAAAUUGGCCAGUGUUGUCUCCCCUCCAAGUUUUUGCUUCUCAGUGUGUCUUCAUCUGCACUUCCAAUUGUCCCUCAAAUUUUAGCAACAUUGAGCUGAGCCUCUAAAGUUUUCUAAAGUUUGGGUCGGGUCAUCUUUCUCCAGUCUUUCUCAGCUCUCCAGCUUACACGGAUGGCCCCUUUCUCUAAAUCUGUAACCUCCACUCUGACCUCUGAGACAGCCAUAUCUGCCCUGGAGGUUUUCUCAAGGACAUUCUGAUUUCCUUGACUGUAGAUUCCAUUGUAUCCAACAUAGAAUUUUGUUUGCUUUUAUGAAAUUUUAUGUGUUGUGUGGCAGCAUCUGUGCUGUGUUAUGUGUGUGUGUGUUUGAGUGUGUGCACAUGCACACUAGGAGAGGGAACGGAAGGUUCCAUUUUUCCCUACUCUCAUUCCAAGUUGCACGUGUUUAUCCACUCUUUCAUCCAUGCUUGACGGAAACAUCAGUGAACAAUGACUACUAACCCCCUUGUCACAUCAGAGGCUAUAGUGGGCAGACACCCUCCUGUCUUGCACCAUUUCUCUCUGUUUCUCCUCUGCUUGAACAACCUCGGUUCAGAGAUGGGGUGGACAUAGCUGGCUCAGUGGUUGCAUGAGAUCUGUAGGAUGGCCUCUAUACUCAAUCAGUGUCAGGCAUUCUAAGAUGAGCUUGGGCAAAGGAAGAAUCUCCAGUUUGGAAAACAGAAGAUGGUAACUCCCCAUUCCUCUAUUUAAGGAGGCAGAAUCCGUUUAAACAUCAUAUCCUCUUGUUUAUGGUCUCAUUUUCACUUAUUCAUUCAUUUAUUCAAUUAUUUACUUACUACUUGAUCUGUCAUAUAUUAAGAUCUACUCUGUGUGAAUAAAUUUAGUCAGGAGGUGUAGCGGUUAUCUAUUGCCAUCAUAAUGCUGCAUAGCAAAAAAAUCAUAAAACCUCAGUAGCAUACAACAAUACAUAUUUAUUUAAUUCAUCAGUCUGUGAACCAAAUGGGCAUUUUUUCUUGUCUGAGCCAGACUUGACUGAUCUCAGCUGAGCUUACUCAUUUCAUUUAUCCGUCAUCAGCAGGCAGUUUGACUGGGGACCAGCAAGUCUAGGAAGGCCUUGGCUGGGACAGAUGAGACAGCUUGGAUCUCUUUCUUGUGGUCUCUCAUCCUCCAGCACAUUAGUGUGGCCUUGAUCACAUGAUGGUGAGAAUCUAAGACAACAAUGUGGGUGAACAAGACCUUUUAAGAUGUAGAAAUGGCACAAAGUCACUUCUGUCAUAGUCUAUUGGCCAAAAGUGGGUCAAAAAGACUCAGAAUCAAGGUAGGGGUGGAGUGAAUAGGAAAUAAACUCCAUCUCUUUAAGAGAGGAGCUGCAAAGUCACAUUGCAAAGGACGUGGAUUCAGGGAUGCCAUUUGGGCCGCCCAUGUAACCAAUCUACCACAAGGAGACCGAGAGGCAAACCUCCAGUUGGAAUAUAAGGACUACAAAAGGAAUGUGUGUACAAUGGUCAGGGAAAAUUUUUUAGAGUGUUCUUCUACCUUGAAUAAAUCAUUUUUAAAGGAACAAGAGGAAGAAGGAUGUAGGAAAGAAGCCAAUAAACUAUUUCUGCCCUUCUUUUCUCCCCCUUUUCCACAAUACUCACAAAGGCACUUACUAUGGGAGAUCUUGGUGGCAUUCAAAAUUUGCCUGGGGCAGCCACCCCAAAGCAGUGGGACUGAAUCCUUUUGGAAGUCAGAUCCUGUCUGCAGAGGUGAUGUGAAUGCAUUUAUUGUUUCUGUAGCAAAGAAGAUGCUAUUUGGAAACUAAGCUCUUGUUGAAUACUUCAGAUGCUUUCCUGGGUCUUCAGGGAAGUCUUCUCUGGGUUACUUUUUGUUUUUGAAGUCAGUAAUGGACUCUAAGCUUCAUUUCAGUUUCUCAUUCUGCAUUUGUCACUUGAUCUCAUUAGACUCCUGGGUCUCACUUGUAUAUCUGAUUUAGACUUCUGUCAACUCUCAAGGCAGAGAUGACUGCCUGUUGUAUUUUACAGAAUUUAGCAAAUGCUAGUUGUGGGUUUAAAUCAAUGAGUCUUGCACUUUCUCAUCCUGCAAUUCAGAACUUUCAGCAUCAUACCAACAGCCUAUCAAAGAGUCAAUUGCUGUUUAUCUUCGGGUGCUGUUACAGGAAAAGAACCAAUUAGAACUUCUCAACUGCAGUCCCCUUGGACAUGGCUAUAGCCCUUAGCAAAGGCAAAUGAGGAGGUGAAGGAAGUGACUGCAUGGUUGAGGGAACUAGUUAACCCUGAAGAGGUGUUCUAAACACUUGAGUCACAAUCUGCCUGUCCUUUUUUGAACUCCCAACAGUAUCCUGUUCUCAGAAGAAAUAGCAAAUUGAAAUGGAUCUGGCUCUAAGGGUCUCAUGCUACUGGAAUGGUGUUGCAGCAGGAUUUUCUUUAGAAAUAUUUAAGAAUAAAGUAGACAAACUCACAUUUUCUAGACUAGAUGGGUUCUGUGAUACCAUGUACCAUAAAACGUUUUUUGAGAUUAUCAAUUUUCCUUAUUUCUUUGCUUUUGACACACUCGUCUUGGUUUAAGUCUACUUUCUUAACAAAGGGUGUGUGUGAAUUUGUGUCUACACAUACACAUGGUGCUCAGAUUGAGAAAUAAAUCUGAAAUACAUUUUGAAAACCUCAAGUUCAAACCCUUUAUUUUACAGGUGACUAAACAAAAUUAGACAGGAGAAAAAAUAUCUUGCACAAUAUCUAGCUAGUUAUUAGUUGUGUGUGAGGGGUGUUCUGACUCUCAGUGCAUUCAAAUUGCAUAAUUUAUAGAAAUCUUGUUUUAUGCAUGGAAUGGCUUAGAAAUGGUGGAGGCAUCACCCAGAAACUUGUACUAUAGUACAAGUUGGAAGUAAUGCUACGUACCGACCAAGUGCAGAGAGGCGUAUGACAUAGAUGCAGAGCCAGCUGAAAGAGGAGGCACAGCAUGUGCUAUCUACAUGACAUAAUUUAGACCAUAAGUAAAUCUUCCCAGUCCAAAAAUAUUCCCACUAUUACUACAGUGGCCAUCCUUUCCAGUUUGCCUAGGAUAAUCCUGUUUUAUCCCUGUUGUCCUGGCGUGAUUAACUUUUACUUUAAAACAUCUCCCUGUUUAGACAAUACAUUAUUCAGUCACACUAGCUAUCAAGAAAGUGGGAGAGACACCAUUACUUUAUGUCAUAUAGGGUUUUCAAUUUCCAAAAUCCCUUACACUCAUUUAAUAGAAAUAUUAUUUAGAGGUCCAAAACAUCAAAAAAGCUUAUCAUCUACUGAAAACAAUUAGCAAGACAGGACUUGAUGAAUGUGAGGGAAAUAAUGAAAGAGAGUCUUUGAAAGGGAAGUCACAAGACCACCAAAGACAAACUCCUCCCACCUUCCCUGGUGCCAGAGCCAAUGUCCAGUGUGAAGACUGGUCACCUGGCAGAUGGCAUGGGGCCAACAGAAUGUUUAUUGCUCGCCUGAUUUAAUAAAGAGACAAAUCCCCCCUCGUUCUCUAAGCUGCAAAAGCCAAUAGAAGUCUUAGAGUAUUACCAAGGCCUAAGGAAAUUGUUUUCCUUUAAAACAUUCCAUCAAUGCUUUAAUUGAUUGUUUAAUAGUUGCUCUUUUAAAAUAAUUUCAUAAGUAUUCAAAGAUUUAAUUUAUUCAUCAGGUUGCCCCCUCCAUCCUCAUCUUUCCUUACAACUUUUGUUGCAGAACUUGUGCAUUUCUGUAGAAACUGUAGAGCUUCUCACACUCCACCUGUUUAACAUGCACCUCUGUCCUGUGUAUCUCUUGUACAUGGGCAGCUGGGUCCAAAAGCCUGAUUGGACUAUAGGUGGCGGUGUACUCUUUCAUCAGGAGGCAAAUACUGUCGGGUUGACUGUCAUUUUGUGAUGUUAGCAGCCGUUUAUGCUUGUUGCCUAAUUCAGGGAUCAGCAAACGUUUUGAGUUCAGCUAUGUCCUUACUGGAUCUGUCCACUUUGGAAAGAGGGGUGUUGAAGUCUCCAACUAUAAUAGUGGAUUCAUAUUUCUCCUUGCAGUUCUAUUAGUUUUUACCUCAUGUAUUUGGAUGUUCUGUUGUUUGGUGAAUAGACAUUAAAGAUUAUUAUGUCUUCUUGGAGAAUCGACUCAUUUAUCAUUAUGUUAUGCCUCUCUUUAUCCUGAUAAUUUUGCUUGCUCUGAAGUCUGCACUGUCUGAAAUUGAUAUAGCUACUUCCACUUUCUUUUGCUUAGCAUUAGCAUGACAUGUCUUUCUCCAUUCAUUUAGUUUUAAUCUAUAGAUCUUCUUUGACUUACGAUGGUGUUACAUCCCGAUAAACCCAUUGUAAGUUAAAAAUAUUGUAAGUGGAAAAUGCAUUUAAUACACCUAACCUACCAAAAAACAAAGUUCAGCCUAGUCUAGCU